rfam:Omnitrophica WOR_2 bacterium GWA2_45_18 gwa2_scaffold_34, whole genome shotgun sequence.
GCCCCUGUAGCUCAGUUGGUAGAGCACGUCCUUGGUAAGGACGAGGUCUCCGGUUCAAGCCCGGUCGGGGGCU